rnacentral:rRNA from 1 species
UACGAGGGGGGCGAGCGUUGUUCGGAAUUAUUGGGCGUAAAGGGUGCGUAGGCGGUUUGGUAAGUCUUAUGUGAAAUCUACAGGCUCAACUUGUAGUCUGCAUGAGAAACUGCCGGGCUUGAGUAUGGGAGAGGUGAGUGGAAUUCCUGGUGUAGCGGUGAAAAUGCGUAGAUAUCAGGGGGAACACCUGUGGCGAAAGCGGCUCACUGGACCAUAACUGACGCUGAUGCACGAAAGCUAGGGGAGCAAACAGG